ensembl:lncRNA
UAAAAGAUAGUAGCAUAAAAGAUAGUAGCAUAAAAGAUUGGAGCAUAAAAGAUUGGAGCAGUACAAAUAAUGUAAUAGAAGAAAACAAAACAGGUUUUAGUACAAACAAUAUUGUAGAAUCUAAAAAUAAAAUUAUAUUAGAAAGUUGUUUAAAAGCUGAAAAUGCAGGUGAAUAUAUUGGUACAGACACUUUUGUAAAUGCAGUUAAAGAUACGAUUAGUGACGAACAAAAUUAUGGACCUAACAUAAUAAAGGAAAAAAACACAGACUCAAUCCAAUUAAAUAUUUUAAACGAAAUAAAUGAAGUUCCAAAUAUUUACAGAACAAAUAAAACAAUGGAAAAUAACAAAAUAGAAAAUGGGGAUGACAACUACGAGUCGGUACAUGCAGAGAAAAAAGAAAAAAAAUAUGAACGUACAGAAGAAAAAAAAAAAAAUCAUGAAAAUGUAGAGGAAAAUGCAAAAAAACAUGAAAAAAAACAUGAACAUGCAGGAGAAAACGAAAAAAUUCAUGAAAAUGCAGAAAAAAAUGCAGAAAAAAAUGGAGAAGAAAAAGAUUAUAGACAUGUAACAAAAGUAAUAAGUAACGAAUAUUUACCUCAAUUCGGCUACGGAAAUAAUAUACAAAAUGUUUUAGAAUCCAAAAGAGAUAUAAUGGACACGUCAGUGAGUGGUAUUAUAUGGAAAAAUAUGCCCCAAAAAACGGACGCACAAAUAUCUGAAAAAUUUAAUGAUCAAAUAAAACAAGUUAGUAACAAAACAAAUGAAAAGGAGCCAAUAUAUAACUGUAACAUAAAAUAUGGUAAAAAAUCAAGUAAGUCAAAAAGUAAAAUGUUCGUAGAAAAAAACAUUGAUAAAUUAACGGAAGUUGUAAAGGAGUACAGAAACCAGUAUAUAACGGAUAGUCGUUUAUUAGGUCUAAAUCAAGAUAUAGCAUUUAAAAUUUUUACUAAUAUUUAUAAUUUAUGUUAUAAAAAAAAAAGAUCAAGUUAUAAAAAACAUUUUAAUUAUUUUAAUAUAUGUUCUUAUAAUGAUAUAUUAUUAUUAUGUGAUGAAAUAGUAAAAGUAUUAAAAAUUGAAAGUACAUUAGAAUGUACAAAUUUGCCUUGUAAAAUAUUUGGCGAUAUACAUGGACAAUUAUUCGAUAUUAUCGAUUUUUUUAACAAAUAUAGUUGGCCUAUGCAUAAUACUGUUGAUAAUGAUUUGUUAUCUGUAACCAGUAUAAGUAAUUUGAGUGCUUCACCAAAUAAAAGUGAUAGUUGUGGUAGUCAUGUCAGUUGUGGUAGUCAUGUCAGUUGUGGUAGUCA